AGAGUUUGAUCCUGGCUCAGGAUGAACGCUGGCGGCGUGCUUAACACAUGCAAGUCGAGCGAAGCACCUAAGAAAGAUUCUUCGGAUGAAUUCUUUUGUGACUGAGCGGCGGACGGGUGAGUAACGCGUGGGUAACCUGCCUCAUACAGGGGGAUAACAGUUAGAAAUGACUGCUAAUACCGCAUAAGACCACGGUACCGCAUGGUACAGUGGUAAAAACUCCGGUGGUAUGAGAUGGACCCGCGUCUGAUUAGCUAGUUGGUGGGGUAACGGCCUACCAAGGCGACGAUCAGUAGCCGACCUGAGAGGGUGACCGGCCACAUUGGGACUGAGACACGGCCCAAACUCCUACGGGAGGCAGCAGUGGGGAAUAUUGCACAAUGGGGGAAACCCUGAUGCAGCGACGCCGCGUGAAGGAAGAAGUAUCUCGGUAUGUAAACUUCUAUCAGCAGGGAAGAAAAUGACGGUACCUGACUAAGAAGCCCCGGCUAACUACGUGCCAGCAGCCGCGGUAAUACGUAGGGGGCAAGCGUUAUCCGGAUUUACUGGGUGUAAAGGGAGCGUAGACGGCAUUGCAAGCCAGAUGUGAAAGCCCGGGGCUCAACCCCGGGACUGCAUUUGGAACUGUAGAGCUAGAGUGUCGGAGAGGCAAGUGGAAUUCCUAGUGUAGCGGUGAAAUGCGUAGAUAUUAGGAGGAACACCAGUGGCGAAGGCGGCUUACUGGACGGUAACUGACGUUGAGGCUCGAAAGCGUGGGGAGCAAACAGGAUUAGAUACCCUGGUAGUCCACGCCGUAAACG
rnacentral:rRNA from 1 species